rnacentral:rRNA from 1 species
AGUGAACGCUGGCGGUAGGCCUAACACAUGCAAGUCGAACGGCAGCACAGUAAGAGCUUGCUCUUACGGGUGGCGAGUGGCGGACGGGUGAGGAAUACAUCGGAAUCUACUUUUUCGUGGGGGAUAACGUAAGGAAACUUACGCUAAUACCGCAUACGACCUACGGGUGAAAGCAUGGGAUCUUCGGACCUUGCGCGAUUGAAUGAGCCGAUGUCGGAUUAGCUAGUUGGCGGGGUAAAGGCCCACCAAGGCGACGAUCCGUAGCUGGUCUGAGAGGAUGAUCGCCGGCCCUGGAACUGGGACACGGUCCAGGCUCCUACGGGAGGCAGCAGUGGCGAAUAUUGGGCAAAGGGCGCAAGCCUGAUCCAGCCGUCCCGCGCGGGUGAAGAAGGCCUUCGGGUUGUAAUGCCCUUUUUUUGGGAAAGAACAGCAGCAGGUUAAUACCCCGCUGUUCUGACGGUACCCAAAGAAUAAGCACCGGCUAACUUCGUG